CAGUAGCCACGGGAAUACGGAGGGGGCUAGCGUUGUUCGGAAUUACUGGGCGUAAAGCGCACGUAGGCGGCUUGGUAAGUUAGAGGUGAAAGCCUGGAGCUCAACUCCAGAAUUGCCUUUAGGACUGCCGAGCUAGCAGGUGAGAGAGGUAAGUGGAAUUCCGAGUGUAGAGGUGAAAUUCGUAGAUAUUCGGAAGAACACCAGUGGCGAAGGCGGCUUACUGGCUCAUACUGGACGCUGAGGUGCGAAAGCGUGGGGAGCAAACAGGAUUAGAUACCCCCAUAGUCCCUGUCUCUUAUAC
rnacentral:rRNA from 1 species